GCGCGAAAACUUUACAAUGCUGGCAACAGCGAUAAGGGAACCUCGAGUGCCAGGUUACAAAUCUGGCUGUCGAGAUGCCUAAAAAGCAUUUCAUAGCAAGGGCCGGGCAAGACCGGUGCCAGCCGCCGCGGUAACACCGGCGGCUCGAGUGGUAACCGUUAUUAUUGGGUCUAAAGGGUCUGUAGCCGGCCGGAUAAGUCUCUUGAGAAAUCUGGCAGCUUAACUGUCAGGCUUUCAGGAGAUACUGUCUGGCUCGAGGCCGGGAGAGGUGAGAGGUACUUCAGGGGUAGGGGUGAAAUCUUGUAAUCCUUGAAGGACCACCAGUGGCGAAGGCGUCUCACCAGAACGGACCUGACGGCAAGGGGCGAAAGCUAGGGGCACGAACCG
rnacentral:rRNA from 1 species